UUGGAGGGCAAGUCUGGUGCCAGCAGCCGCGGUAAUUCCAGCUCCAAUAGCGUAUAUUAAAGUUGUUGCAGUUAAAAAGCUCGUAGUUGAAUUUUAGGCCCGGUUGGACGGUCUGCUCUAGGGCUUGUACUGUCCUGACUGGGUCUUCCCUUCUGGUGAGCCGUUGUGUUGUUUAUUCAAUGCGAUGGGGAACCAGGACUUUUACUUUGAAAAAAUUAGAGUGUUUAAAGCAGGCAUUCGCUUGAAUACAUUAGCAUGGAAUAAUAAAAUAGGACUUUGGUUCUAUUUUGUUGGUUUCUA
rnacentral:rRNA from 1 species